rnacentral:rRNA from 1 species
GACGAACGCUGGCGGCGUGCUUAACACAUGCAAGUCGAACGGAAAGGCCCUGCUUUUGUGGGGUGCUCGAGUGGCGAACGGGUGAGUAACACGUGAGUAACCUGCCCUUGACUUUGGGAUAACUUCAGGAAACUGGGGCUAAUACCGGAUAGGAGCUCCUGCUGCAUGGUGGGGGUUGGAAAGUUUCGGCGGUUGGGGAUGGACUCGCGGCUUAUCAGCUUGUUGGCGGGGUAGUGGCUUACCAAGGCUUUGACGGGUAGCCGGCCUGAGAGGGUGACCGGCCACAUUGGGACUGAGAUACGGCGCAGACUCGUACGGGAGGCAGCAGUGGGGAAUAUUGCACAAUGGGCGGAAGCCUGAUGCAGCAACGCCGCGUGCGGGAUGACGGCCUUCGGGUUGUAAACCGCUUUCGCCUGUGACGAAGCGUGAGUGACGGUAAUGGGUAAAGAAGCACCGGCUAACUACGUG